rnacentral:lncRNA from 1 species
ACUUGAUCCUGUCUUUGCAUGAAUAACAAUAAUACAUCUGUGCCUGAUUCCACUCUCUUUUCUCUCCUCGUACCCUUUACUCCUCAAAGCAGGUGGGCUGAGCACCUCGUGUGUAUGGAGCUGGUCAUCCUUAUUGAUUUCUGUUGGGAGGAGGAGUCCCAUACAUCAUGGCUAACUCGCUGCAUCCCCGGCGUAGAAAGCAAGCAACACAAUGAAGUAAAGCAAUUUGAACACUGAGCCCCAGUUUGACCUUUGAUUAUGAGAGGAAUACAGCGGUGCUCAUAUCCCAGGCCUCUCAGUUCCCUCUCAA